rnacentral:rRNA from 1 species
UACGUAGGGAGCAAGCGUUGUUCGGAUUUACUGGGCGUAAAGGGCGCGUAGGCGGCCUGACAGGUCACUUGUGAAAUCUCCGAGCUUAACUCGGAACGGUCAAGUGAAACCCAUAGGCUAGAGUGCAGAAGGGGCAAUCGGAAUUCUUGGUGUAGCGGUGAAAUGCGCAGAUAUCCGGAGGAACACCGGUGGCGAAGGCGGCUUCCUGGACCGACACUGACGCUGAGGCGCGAAAGCUAGGGGAGCAAAC